AGGGUUUGAUCCUGGCUCAGGAUGAACGCUAGCGGCAGGCUUAACACAUGCAAGUCGAGGGGUAGAAGGAGCUUGCUCCUUUGAGACCGGCGCACGGGUGCGUAACGCGUAUGCAAUCUACCUUGUACAGGGGGAUAGCCCAGAGAAAUUUUGAUUAAUACCCCAUAGUGUAACGAAAAGGCAUCUUUUUGUUACUAAAGUUCCAACGGUACAAGAUGAGCAUGCGUCCCAUUAGCUAGUUGGUGUGGUAACGGCAUACCAAGGCAACGAUGGGUAGGGGUCCUGAGAGGGAGAUCCCCCACACUGGUACUGAGACACGGACCAGACUCCUACGGGAGGCAGCAGUGAGGAAUAUUGGUCAAUGGGCGCAAGCCUGAACCAGCCAUGCCGCGUGCAGGAUGACGGUCCUAUGGAUUGUAAACUGCUUUUGUACAGGAAGAAACACUCCCUCGUGAGGGAGCUUGACGGUACUGUAAGAAUAAGGAUCGGCUAACUCCGUGCCAGCAGCCGCGGUAAUACGGAGGAUCCAAGCGUUAUCCGGAAUCAUUGGGUUUAAAGGGUCCGUAGGCGGUUUUAUAAGUCAGUGGUGAAAUCUGGUCGCUCAACGAUCAAACGGCCAUUGAUACUGUAGAACUUGAAUUACUUGGAAGUAACUAGAAUAUGUAGUGUAGCGGUGAAAUGCUUAGAGAUUACAUGGAAUACCAAUUGCGAAGGCAGGUUACUACGAGUACAUUGACGCUGAUGGACGAAAGCGUGGGGAGCGAACAGGAUUAGAUACCCUGGUAGUCCACGCCGUAAACGAUGGAUACUAGCUGUUUGGAGCAACCUGAGUGGCUAAGCGAAAGUGAUAAGUAU
rnacentral:rRNA from 1 species